rnacentral:rRNA from 1 species
GGUAACAGGAAGAAGCUUGCUUCUUUGCUGACGAGUGGCGGACGGGUGAGUAAUGUCUGGGAAACUGCCUGAUGGAGGGGGAUAACUACUGGAAACGGUAGCUAAUACCGCAUAACGUCGCAAGACCAAAGAGGGGGACCUUCGGGCCUCUUGCCAUCGGAUGUGCCCAGAUGGGAUUAGCUAGUAGGUGGGGUAACGGCUCACCUAGGCGACGAUCCCUAGCUGGUCUGAGAGGAUGACCAGCCACACUGGAACUGUGACACGGUCCAGACUCCUACGGGAGGCAGCAGUGGGGAAUAUUGCACAAUGGGCGCAAGCCUGAUGCAGCCAUGCCGCGUGUAUGAAGAAGGCCUUCGGGUUGUAAAGUACUUUCAGCGGGGAGGAAGGGAGUAAAGUUAAUACCUUUGCUCAUUGACGUUACCCGCAGAAGAAGCACCGGCUAACUCCGUGCCAGCAGCCGCGGUAAUACGGAGGGUGCAAGCGUUAAUCGGAAUUACUGGGCGUAAAGCGCACGCAGGCGGUUUGUUAAGUCAGAUGUGAAAUCCCCGGGCUCAACCUGGGAACUGCAUCUGAUACUGGCAAGCUUGAGUCUCGUAGAGGGGGGUAGAAUUCCAGGUGUAG